GACAGAGGGGGCAAGCGUUGCUCGGAAUUACUGGGCGUAAAGGGCGCGUAGGCGGGAUGGCAAGUCGGUCGUGAAAUCCCUCGGCUCAACCGAGGAACGUCGAUCGAUACUGCUGUUCUUGAGGAUUGCAGAGGAGACUGGAAUUCCCGGUGUAGCGGUGAAAUGUGUAGAGAUCGGGAGGAACACCAGUGGCGAAGGCGGCUACCUGGACCAGCAUUGACACUCAAGCACGAAAGCGUGGGGAGCAAACAGG
rnacentral:rRNA from 1 species